AACAUCACGUCCAUCACUUGCAUAACGACGAACGAGUCAUGUGACAGAGUGUUGUUGGUUUGUUGGGCUUCCUGGUUUCCGUGAUCAUGUGAAUACUACAGCUAGCCGUCCCGGUCAUACACACUACCCCAGUUUGGGCACUCGACACCCCGCUACAGCCUGCGCUGGUUCCCACUAGCUACUCUAUGGCGGAUGGAGAGCGUAGCCCGUUGCUUUCGGACCAGCACGACGGGACGAAUGGUGCCUCGUAUGGCUUUCCCCCGAGGCCACAGAGUUUCCCUCCAUUCCUCAGCCCCAGUGCCCCUCCAUUCCUCAGCCCCAGUGCCCCUCCAUUCCUCAGCCCCAGUGCCCCUCCAUUCCUCAGCCCCAGUGCCCCCCCUCCAGUCCUGUUCGGUGAAGCCCCGCCUCCCUACUCUCCCCUGGGCAGCCCAGACAUUGGCAGCUCCCCCAUCAUCAGUUGCAGGGUGUGUCAGAGUGCCAUCAACGUGGAGGGAAAGACACACCAACACGUAGUCAAGUGUGUCAUCUGCAAUGAGGCUACGCCUAUAAAGAAUGCACCAGCAGGGAAGAAGUAUGUCCGCUGCCCCUGUAACUGUCUCCUCAUCUGUAAAGUCACCUCCCAGAGGAUCGCCUGUCCCCGACUUUACUGUAAGCGUGUCAUGAACUUGGGUCUGGUGCCUGCUGCAGGGUCCGGUUCAGGCAGUCCAGAACCUCAACAACUCGCUGGGGUCAGAGUGGUCUGUGGACACUGCAGAAACACAUUCCUGUGGACUGAUUUCUCAGACAGAACGUUAGCCAGAUGCCCCCACUGCAGAAAAGUCUCUUCUGUUGGCCGGCGGUACCCCAGGAGGCGGGGCUUGUGGUGUUUCCUGUUGUUUUUGGUUUUCUCUGGCGGCACGGCAGGACUAGUGGUGGGAACGUGUAAAUCAGCCUUGCUCAACAGAGGGAUCUAUGCCUCCUGGGUCUUCCUGAUUCUCCUGGCUGUACUGAGCAUGUGCAGAAUGAUCUACUGGGGCUGUCUGAAGAUCAGCGAACCUAUACAGAUCAACCCAUAGAGGGGAGAGGAGCCCAUACAGAACAUCACAUAGGGGGGAGAGGAGCCCAUACAGAACAUCACAUAGAGGAGCCCAUACAGAACAUCACAUAGAGGAGCCCAUACAGAACAUCACAUAGAGGAGAGAGGAGCCCAUACAGAACAUCACAUAGAGGAGGAGCCCAUACAGAACAUCACAUAGAGGAGAGAGGAGCCCAUACAGAACAUCACAUAGAGGAGAGAGGAGCCCAUACAGAACAUCACAUAGAGGAGAGAGGAGCCCAUACAGAACAUCACAUAGAGGAGAGAGGAGCCCAUACAGAACAUCACAUAGAGGAGAGAGGAGCCCAUACAGAACAUCACAUAGAGGAGAGAGGAGCCCAUACAGAACAUCACAUAGAGGAGAGGGAGCCCAUACAGAACAUCACAUAGAGGGGAGAGGAGCCCAUACAGAACAUCACAUAGAGGAGAGAGGAGCCCAUACAGAACAUCACAUAGAGGAGAGAGAAGCCCAUACAGAACAUCACAUAGAGGAGAGAGGAGCCCAUACAGAACAUCACAUAGAGGAGAGAGGAGCCCAUACAGAACAUCACAUAGAGGAGAGAGGAGCCCAUACAGAACAUCACAUAGAGGAGAGAGGAGCCCAUACAGAACAUCACAUAGAGGAGAGAGGAGCCCAUACAGAACAUCACAUAGAGGAGGAGCCCAUACAGAACAUCACAUAGAGGAGAGAGGAGCCCAUACCCAUAGAAAUGAGGGAGGGGUUCCUCAAUGCUGGAAGAGGGACCCCGAGUUAAAACAAUAGGGAACCCCUGACACGGAGAGGAACAGAGAGAUGCGCUGAGGGAGAUAUGGUAUAGGAAGGAGCGUGAGAACAAACAUUAACAUGACCAGAUCAAACUAGAUCCAACCAGAUCAAACUAGAUCCAACCAGAUCAAACUAGAUCCAAUCAGAUCAAAGCAGAUCAAACUAGAUCCAAUCAGAUCAAAGCAGAUCAAACUAGAUCCAACCAGAUCAAACUAGAUCCAACCAGAUCCAACCAGAUCAGUCCUGUUGGGACUAAUAGUCCCCUACUGUACUGGCUGUUGGGACUAAUAGUCCCCUACUGGACUGGCUGUUGGGACUAAUAGUCCCCUACUGGACUAAUAGUCCCCUACUAGACUAAUAGUCCCCUACUGGACUAAUAGUCCCCUACUAGACUAAUAGUCAACUACUGGACUGGCUGGCUGUUGGGACUAAUAGUCCCCUACUGGACUGGCUGGCUGUUGGGACUAAUAGUCCCCUACUGGACUGGCUGUUGGGAUUAAUAGUCCCCUACUGGACUGGCUGUUAGGACUAAUAGUCCCCUACUGGACUAAUAGUCCCCUACUGGACUGGGAGGACUAAUAGUCCCCUACUGGACUGGGAGGACUAAUAGUCCCCUACUGGACUGGGAGGACUAAUAGUCCCCUACUGGACUGGGAGGACUAAUAGUCCCCUACUGGACUGGGAGGACUAAUAGUCCCCUACUGGACUGGGAGGACUAAUAGUCCCCUACUGGACUGGGAGGACUAAUAGUCCCCUACUGGACUGGGAGGACUAAUAGUCCCCUACUGGACUGGGAGGACUAAUAGUCCCCUACUGGACUGGGAGGGCUAAUAGUCCCCUACUGGACUGGGAGGACUAAUAGUCCCCUACUGGACUGGGAGGACUAAUAGUCCCCUACUGGACUGGGAGGAUUAAUAGUCCCCUACUGGACUAAUAGUCCCCUACUGGACUGGGAGGACUAAUAGUCCCCUACUGGACUGGCUGGACUAAUAGUCCCCUACUGGACUGGGAGGACUAAUAGUCCCCUACUGGACUGGGAGGACUAAUAGUCCCCUACUGGACUGGGAUGAUUAAUAGUCCCCUACUGGACUAAUAGUCCCCUGCUGGACUGGGAGGACUAAUAGUCCCCUACUGGACUGGGAGGACUAAUAGUCCCCUACUGGACUGGGAGGACUAAUAGUCCCCUACUGGACUGGGAGGAUUAAUAGUCCCCUACUGGACUGAGAGGACUAAUAGUCCCCUACUGGACUAAUAGUCCCCUACUGAACUGGGAGGACUAAUAGUCCCCUACUGGACUAAUAGUCCCCUACUGGACUGGGAGGACUAAUAGUCCCCUACUGGACUGGAAGGGAACCUGGAGAAGCCUGCACUCGCCAUCACACCAAUCAAUCUCCGGUCGAUCAAAAACCAAUAAAUAUCACCAGGUCUGUAGCACUCAGUGAUUUAUUUUACUGUAGAAACUGAUUUUUACUGUAACAACUGACACACUCUGUUUCUACAGUAAAAUAAAACACUGAGUGCUACAGACCUGGUGAUAUUUAUUGGUUUUUGAUCGACUUGUGAUAGAUUGGUGAUUUUAUAUAUAUAUAUAUAUAUAUUUCACUCUCUGCAGUCAUUGGCAUUGUUAUGUGAUUGAUUUUUUAAAUAGUUGGUUUAUUUUCUAUUAUAGAGUUGUCUCCUGUUGUCUGUCACACUCUGGUUAAUUGUUGUAAUAUCUAACUAAGCGGAGUCCCAAAUGCCUCCCUGUUCCCUACUGCUAUUGACCUGAGCCCUAUUGGCCAUAGUGCCCUGCUUUUGACCAGGGCUUUAUGAGCCAUUGUGCCCUUCUUUUAAGUAGUUCCCUAUGAAGGGGAUAGAGUGCCCCUGCUUUUAAGUAGUGCCCUAUGAAGGGGAUAGAGUGCCCCUGCUUUUAAGUAGUGCCCUAUGAAGGGGACAGAGUGCCCCUGCUUUUAAGUAGUGCCCUAUGAAGGGGAUAGAGUGCCCCUGCUUUUAAGUAGUGCCCUAUGAAGGGGAUAGAGUGCCCCUGCUUUUAAGUAGUGCCCUAUGAAGGGGACAGAGUGCCCCUGCUUUUAAGUAGUGCCCUAUGAAGGGGACAGAGUGCCCCUGCUUUUAAGUAGUGCCCUAUGAAGGGGAUAGAGUGCCCCUGCUUUUAAGUAGUGCCCUAUGAAGGGGAUAGAGUGCCCCUGCUUUUAAGUAGUGCCCUAUGAAGGGGACAGAGUGCCCUGCUUUUAAGUAGUGCCCUAUGAAGGGGAUAGAGUGCCCUGCUUUUAAGUAGUGCCCUAUGAAGGGGACAGAGUGCCCUGCUUUUAAGUAGUGCCCUAUGAAGGGGACAGAGUGCCCUGCUUUUAAGUAGUGCCCUAUGACGGGGAUAGUGCCCUGCUUUUAAGUAGUGCCCUAUGAAGGGGACAGAGUGCCCUGCUUUUAAGUAGUGCCCUGUGAAGGGGAUAGAGUGCCCUGCUUUUAAGUAGUGCACUAUGAAGGGGACAGAGUGCCAUUUGGGAUGCGGAUCUAACUGUAACGUGUUUUUGCACUACAUCCUAAUGAUUUAGAUCUGGUCCAAGGCGUUACGUGCGACUUGCUGGUGCCGAACCUGCUAGAUGCACGUAACAACAUGGACAAGAGCUACCUAUCAAUGAUACAGCUGAAUAAUAACAUGUCCUGUUGUGCUGAUAUUCUGAGUAAUGAUGUGAGACUAAAAUACUUUUAACUAAA